UUGGGCUAUAUUUGUCCAAUAAUAGUUGGGCCUGAAGUCAAUUUUUUCGAGUACAAAACAGAUCUAGUCCAAACCAGUCGGCCCAUUUAUUCAAAGCUCUAUCCAGGUUUUUCUUCAACAUCCCCUAAUACACUCAUGGCGGUUGAUUUGCGCUAGUUUCAGCCAUUGUGACUUUCUUUCACCACCAGUCUCCCACGGCGGCGUGUGUCAA
rnacentral:lncRNA from 1 species